rnacentral:lncRNA from 1 species
GAGAAAAGAAUGCACAGGUGAAGGACGAGAAAAAUGUGUUAAAUAAAUUUUUUUUUAAAAAGAUAAGUGUCAGAUUUCAAAGUGUAUCAGCAAAAGUUGGAGUUGUUUAAUGAGAUUGCUAAAUGGCAAUAGCUAUUUUGUUUAUUUUUUGGGCUAAUAAAUUAACAGUUAACAUUCAUUCAAGAAUCAAGGGUUUUGGUACAAAACAGUUGGCGUUCUUGAAUUUUAGACAGUAAUCUGAGAAAG